UACGUAGGGUGCAAGCGUUGUCCGGAAUUAUUGGGCGUAAAGAGCUCGUAGGCGGUCUGUCGCGUCUGCUGUGAAAACUCAGGGCUUAACCCUGAGCUUGCAGUGGGUACGGGCAGACUAGAGUGCGGUAGGGGAGACUGGAAUUCCUGGUGUAGCGGUGAAAUGCGCAGAUAUCAGGAGGAACACCGAUGGCGAAGGCAGGUCUCUGGGCCGAUACUGACGCUGAGGAGCGAAAGCGUGGGGAGCAAACAGG
rnacentral:rRNA from 1 species